rnacentral:lncRNA from 1 species
UUAGGUAUUCAUAGGGUAUGGGUACAGGUACAAACAUUGGUGCCCACACGGGUAUGGGAUCGGGUACGGAGAUUUUUUGUAACUACGGGUUUGGGGACGCGUACUAUAGUAUCCUGCUCAAACCAUGGUCAUUGUCAUCCAUAGUAAAAUCUUAUUUCAUAAUCAAAAGUAUAUCUAACACAAGUUGUACUUAAUUUAAAGAUUUUAAAGGUUUAAUACAUCUUUUGAUCCCUUAACUUAAUUUAAUGUUUCACUUUGAUCCCUUAAUUAAAAAAUGAUAUAUUAUAGUCCUUUAAAACUGUUAUGUUAGCCUAUUUGAUCCUUUCCGUUAAAUUUUUAGAGAAAAAAAACGUUAACUACGGCCUACGUGGCAAUUCUAAUGGAUUUUUAAUAUUUGGUGUGACUUUUUUGAUAUUUUUCUUUUUUCUUUUUUAAUAUCGGACCUUACAAUUCUAAAAAUGAAAACAUGUUUAUCCUCCCUUCCCAAAACCCUAGCAGCCGCCACCUUCUUUCUCUUUGUCAUCAUCCAUAAACUCUUCACCUCCUUCCCCUCUUUCAUUUUCCUCUAUUUCCUUCUUAACAUCUUCCUUUAUUUGUUACAGAAACAGCGGAAUGAGGGAUUUAUUGUGUGCUUGAUUCUAGAUUUGGUUUCAUAUCUGAUUUACUAUGUGUUUGAUUUUAGAUCUAGUUUUAGUAUCUUACCUCACUCAUCACUCAUUCAUUUACCAAAGGUACUUUCUUUUUGUACUUCCUACUGUCAUUACUUUAUGACAUGAACAAAACAAAG